UGCAAACGGCGCGUUGAUUUCGCUAGAGUUUCGCCCUGACCUCGCUCGAGCCUAAAUUGCAGAACAGAUAUCGCUAGAGUUUCGCUGAGCUGUCGCUCGAGCAAAGGUGCGUCGCUCGAGUUUCGCCAGCACCACGUUCGAGCGACGAUGUUAUCUGGCCUUUGGUAAUUUUAAUGCCUCGCGAAUUUUUAACGCUCCAUAUUACCAAAUGCAACCUACUAUAUAAACAAAACAUCCGAUUUUCGUUAAACACCUUUGGCAAACAUUCAAACAGGAAUUCCUCUCAACUUCCAAAGGAUUAAGAACCUAAUAUUCAUUCUUUUCAUCUUUUAAUUCUCAUGGUUCUUUGAAUAAAAACAUCAACCCUCUCAAAACCAAAACACCAUUUCAUAUCUCCAUAUCAACUUCCAGAAGAUCGUUAGUUUGAAGAUCCGGGAAGGGAAUUGCUUGAAGAGCUGGAGUGCUUGGUGAUUCACGAGAGGUAGAAGAUAUUCAAGGCUGGAAUUUUGUGGCGUACUGUAAGUCGAUAUCUUCUAUAGUGGUCGAUACAGUAAGGAGGUCAGAGUAUUGUUAGAAUCAAUAAUGUCUGGCGUACUGUAAGUCGAUAUCUUCUAUAGUGGAUCUCUACUGGCUUGUGCCUGAAGUUUUUACCCAGUUGGGUUUUCUCCGUCAACAUUUUGUGGCGUUUUUACUGGUUUUUGUUAUUUACUUUUCAACCGAUAAUUUAACUUAGGUAGAUAAAGUAUGUGAAUGAAUCUGGACAAUGCAUAAUUUAUGUGACUUGUUGCAUAAGUUAAUUAAUUACCUUAGUUCUGCAUAAACACGUAUUCACCUCCCCCUCUAGGUGUUGGUUGGGUCGAACUAUAGCUUUUUCAAGUGGUAUCAGAGCCAAAUCUCGAGUCCUGACCCAUAGUUGUCUAGAUGAGUCAAUCACUGUCUGUACCUUCGUUUUUCGAUGGAAGUAAUUAUGCUUAUUGGAAGGUUAGAAUGCGUGCUUUUCUUAAGUCUUUAGAUGAGCAUGUUUGGGUAAGUGUGCAAAAUGGUUGGAAACCUCCCUCCACUACCGUUUCUGGAACUAUUAAUCUAACUGACAUAUCACUGUGGACUAAGGAUGAAAUAGCUGAGUUUAAUUGGAAUAGCAAGGGUCUUCAUGCCCUGUUUAUGGCCAUGUCUCCCGAAGAGUUUAGGAGAGUAUCAAUGUGUGAAACUGCUAAAGAGGUUUGGGACAUUCUUGAAACUACACAUGAGGGAACUAAAACGGUAAAGAAUUCUAAGUUACAAAUGCUAGCAUCUAGGUUUGAAGAAGUGAGAAUGAAGGAUGAUGAAAUGUUUGACGAAUUCUAUGCUAAAUUGAAUGACAUUGUUAAUUCUAGCUUCAAUCUAGGUGAGAGAAUUCCCAAGUCUAAAAUUGUGAGAAAAGUGCUUAGGUCCCUGCCCGAGAGAUUUAGGCCUAAAGUCACUGCCAUUGAGAAAAGUAAGGACCUAGAUGAAGUUCAAAUUGAAAAACUGGUAGGAUCCCUGCAAACUUAUGAACUCACUGUCACACAACCUAAGAAAAGAAAGUCCAUAGCCUUAAAAUCCAUCAAAGAGGAUGAAUCUUCUGAUACUGAGUCACUUAGGGACGAUGAAAUUGCUUACUUUGUUAAGAGAUUCCAAAAAGUUCUCAAGAAUAGGAGAAAGCCUCAGGAUAGAAAAAGUGGAGCCCUAGCAGUUUUUCAAAAGAAAAAAUUGAAAAGUUUACCAAUAAAGGGUCUAGUGAUAAGCCUCGUUUGGUUAGGUGCCAUGAGUGUCAAGGAAUAAGUCACUAUAGGAAUGAAUGCCCUAGUUAUAAGAAGAACCAAAGAAAANNNNNNNNNNNNNNNNNNNNNNNNNNNNNNNNNNNNNNNNNNNNNNNNNNNNNNNNNNNNNNNNNNNNNNNNNNNNNNNNNNNNNNNNNNNNNNNNNNNNNNNNNNNNNNNNNNNNAGUAAUCUUCAGGAUUCACUUAAGAGUGGUAGUGAGUUAAAGUGUGUCAAUGAGAAGUUAGAGCACAAGAUUAAGACUUUGACUAGUGAAUUGGAGAAAUCUAAUGCUCAUCUUCAGACUUUCAUAAGUGGGACUAAGAAAUUGGACAAUAUUUUGGGAAUGAAUAAGCCUGGAGAUAGGAAAGGUCUAGGAUACGUUGAGGGUAACACACAUGUUACUAGACCAUCUAAGACUGUGUUUGUUUCUGCCUCUAAGAAAGCUAAUGCUGUCGGCAGUUCAAAAAAGGGUAAGAAUGUUCCUAGAGAACAGCGUCAUCAAUCAUGUAGGAACUUCAAUCCCAGAUACCCACAGACACGUACCUUUGAGCCUAGGUUCAUUCCCACCUGUCACCACUGUAGAACUCUAGGACACACUAGGCCUAGAUGUUAUAAGUUAGGCAAUGAGCAUAGAAAUCAUAACAUUCCUAGUCAGGUUAGCUUUCUGUCUAAUCAGGUUAGUCAUUUGACUGAGAUGCUUACUAAGCUUACUAGGAGUACUUUAUCAUCUAGGAAAGUUUGGGUCAAAAAGGGUGAUCUAGCUAGACAUUCAGGUCAAGAAAACUGUUUUGUUGCUCAUGUUGCAUUAAAAGCCCAAAAUUACAAUAUGUGGUAUCUAGAUAGUGCAUGUUCUAGGCAUAUGUGUGGUAAUAAAGCUUUGUUCACUACUCUUGAUGAAUGUAAUGGUGGUAUGGUUACCUUUGGAGAUGGGGGUUUUGCACCUAUUCUUGGCAAAGGUACUGUACAAAUGCAUGGAUUUCCUGUGAUCUCUGAUGUGCUUUAUGUGGAAGGCUUAAAGUCUAAUUUGUUAAGCAUUAGUCAGAUUUGUGAUGAUGAUUUUGAGGUUAGCUUUGUGCAAAAGAGAUGUACCGUGUAUGAUUCAUCUGGUGGGAUGGUCCUUGAAGAGGUUAGAACGUCUAACAAUCGUUAUGAAGUUUUGCCUAAUUCUAAUUAUGUGUGUAGGAGUGCAAAAAUUGAUGUGAGUGAGCUCUGGCACAAAAGGUUAGGUCACUUGAAUUAUAAGAGUCUAGUACAACUAGUUAAGAAGGAAUUGGUAGAUGGUUUGCCUAAGAUAAGUCCGAGUGAAAAUGUUGUGUGUGGACCAUGUCAACUAGGUAAACAGCUUAAGGGAAGUCAUAAAAAGACUUCUAAAAUUCUAAACAAAAGACCCCUGGAAUUGAUACACAUGGAUUUAAUGGGACCAUCUAGGACUGAGAGUCUAGGAGGUAAGCGAUACAUUAUUUGUUGUGGUAGAUGACUUCUCGAGGUUUACAUGGAUAGAAUUACUUAGGGAAAAAUCUGAUGCAUGUGAUCUUAUAUAAAGUCUCUGUGUAAGCAGCUUAGUAAUGAACUCAAUGUCAAAGUUUAGAGAAUGCGUAAUGAUCAUGGAAAAGAAUUUGAAAAUUCUAAUCUUGAGAGUUUUUGCAUGGAUGAAGGGAUAUUGCAUGAGUUUUCUUCCCCUAUCACUCCUCAACAAAAUGGAGUGGUUGAAAGGAAGAAUCUGUUCUUCAGGACAUGGCUAGAGCCAUGCUUCAUGGAAGGGGACUAGCCCUACACUUUUGGGGAGAAGCUGUUAACACUGCAUGCCACAUAAUCAAUAGAGUCUACCUUAGACCCAAGACUGAUCAGACUCCAUAUGAAAUUCUUAAGGGUAAAAAGCCUACGGUUAAGUACUUUCGUGUGUUUGGGAGUAAGUGCUAUAUUCUGCGUGAUAGAGAGAACUUGGGUAAGUUUGAAUCUAAGAGUGAUGAAGGAGUUUUCUUAGGAUACUCUAGAAAUAGUCGAGCAUUCCGAGUAUAUAACUCACGAACUCAUGUUGUGAUGGAGUCAAUCAAUGUUGUGAUAGAUGAUGCUGAUCUUAUAAGAUCUAGUGAUCCCACUGAACCACCUGUGUCUGAAUCAUCUCUUAGGAAAACUGAAACACCUGAAAAGGAAACACUUCCACAAGAUCGAGAUAAAAAUCCUAAGGAACCAUCGACUAGGGUUAAGUCAAAUCAUCCUAAGGACAAUAUCAUUGGAGAUCUAGAUGAAGGUAUGAGACUUCGUAGGAGAGUACUGAACAAUCUAGCUUACACUAGCUAUGUCUCUCAUGUAGAGCCUAAGAAAGUUGAAGAGGCUCUUAGUGAUGAGUGUUGAGUGAAUGCGAUGCAUGAGGAACUCAAUCAAUUUGCUAGGAACAAUGUGUGGAUCUUAGUUCCCUGACCUAAAAAUUAUAAUGUUAUUGGUACUAAGUGGAUCUUUAAGAAUAAGACAGAAGACCAAGGUACUAUAACUAGGAAUAAGGCUAGAUUAGUUGCUCAGGGUUAUACUCAAGUUAAAGGAAUUGAUUUUGAUGAAACUUUUGCCCCUAUUGCACGACUAGAGUCUAUUUGGAUUCUGCUUGCUGUUGUUUGUACCUCAGGGUUCAAGUUACAUCAAAUGAACGUUAAGAGUGCCUUCUUGAAUGGAUUUCUUCAGGAAGAAGUCUACGUGGUACAACCAAAAGGAUUUGUCGAUCCUAAGUUUCCCCACUAUGUCUACAAACUCCACAAAGCACUUUAUGGUCUGAAACAAGCUCCUAGAGCUUGGUAUGAGAGACUUACUUCAUACCUUGAGGAACAUGGAUUCUCUCGAGGUGGUGCAGAUAGGCCCUUAUUUAUUAGACAUAUUGAAGAAACUAUCACCAUUGCUCAGAUUUAUGUCGAUGACAUUAUUUUUGGGUCUCCUCUUGAGUCUCUAGCAUAUGAGUUUGCUGAGUGCUUGAAGCAAGAAUUUGAGAUGAGUACGGUUGGGGAGUUGAGUUAUUUCCUUGGACUUUAAGUGAGACAGACAGAGGAUGGACUGUUCAUUUCACAGUCUAAGUAUGCUAAGGAUCUAGUUAAGCGCUUUGGGUUAGAUAGUAAGAAGCAUACUAGGACACCUAUGAGUACUAGCUUGAAGUUAGGUCGUGAUCCUUCAGGUAAGUGUGUAGAUCCUUCCCUUUAUCGAAGCAUGAUAGGUAGUCUUCUCUAUCUCACGGCUACUAGACCUGACAUUGCUUUUAAUGUUGGAGUGUGUGCUUGAUUUCAGGCAGAUCCAAAAGAAUCACACUUAAGCUCUAUUAGACGCAUCAUUAGAUAUGUGAGUGGUACAGUUGAUCUAGGGAUAUUCUACUCUAGGAAUUCUAAUCUUGAUUUGGCUGGUUACUCCAACGCCGACUGGGCCGGGAACGCAAAUGAUAGGAAAAGUACGACAGGGGGUUGUUUUUACAUGGGGAGCAAUCUCGUAGCCUGGUUAAGUAAGAAACAGAAUUCUAUGUCUCUAUCCACGGCAGAGGUCGAAUACAUAGCUGCAGGUAGUUGCUGCACUCAGCUUCUCUGGAUGAAGCAGAUGUUGAGUGAUUAUGGGAUUAGUCAAGGGACCAUGACUGUUUUCUGUGAUAAUACAAGUGCUAUAAAUAUUUCUAAGAAUCCCAUUCAACACUCUCGAACAAAACAUAUUGACAUACGACAUCACUUCAUUCGUGAGCUUGUUGAAUCACAUGUAGUCUCCCUCGACCAUGUCUCUACUGAUAAUCAAUUUGCUGAUCUACUUACAAAACCACAAGAUGGAUUGAAGUUUGAGUCACUUCAGAUGGCUAUUGGUGUUUGUUCACCUAUCUGAUCAUGGAUUCAUGUAUAUUCAUGCAUUCAUCACAUAUGCACCUAGUCACUUCAUAUCUUGCAUGUGAUCUGUGUGUGUGUGAUACAUUUUUGAUUGUUAGUUUGUCGUUUAGUCUUCUUUUGUGUGUUAUAUUUGUGUGCUUAAAUAUGAAAAUUAAAAAAAAUUAAUUAAAAAUAAUAAUAAUAAUAAUAAAUAAAAAUAAAAUGGGAUUUUUUUUUUGUGUGCCUUUUAUGUGACGAUAAUAGCUUUUGCAUUAAAGAUCAAACUCUAUUUUUCAUCAUAUGUACAAGUCUGAGGUUCCAUCAUCGUUCUCUUUGCCUGUGGAGUUCUGAGUAUAUGGCUCGUCAUUCAUUUUUGCACAGCACACACUGUAGUCCUGUGAGUAAGUCUUGACCGCAUGGGUGAGACUUGGAAUGGUGUUCUUCUGUGAUUGGGGUUAUGUGUCCAUUUGACUUGAUCUGGGACUAGUGUCACCUAAUCAUAUUUUCUUUUCCCACUUUUUUUUUUUGAACUUAUGACUGUCUUCGGGGCGUAUUUGACUCGAACAAUUAAGCCUGAGGGGUUUCUAACCUGGUGCCUUAUGGUCAUCUGACUUGGGAGUCACCAGCCCAAAGUUCGUUACCGGGGUCAUUUAUGUCGCCUAAUGGGGAUAGCAUUGCACUUAAGUUCUUUUGUUGAAAAAAAAAGGGGAAGAAAUAUGGAAUCAUGCAGUUAGGGGGAGUAAAAUUGUGACAAUCGUAAUAUUUGAUAUAGGUCCUCGUGAAAUUGGAUUUGACCGUCACUUGGUAGACAUACACCUCUGUCUGGUUGUUUUCACGUGUCCUUUCUCACUAAUUUAAGGUUUUGACUCUCACUUGCAUGGACUACGUGGCAUUUUUCACGGUGAUGUUCUUAUACACUUUACUCCACGGGAUUUUGAACUAUGUGUGGAUUUACGAUUUGUCUAUGUGCUGAGUGUCGGGGUUGUGACUUUAUGCUUAUUGUUGGCAUAGUUUACAUAAUUGGUCCCAUGCUUCGUUUUUUUUUUUGAUUAGUUUCCGAUGCUCUGCACUUGUCUUAUUUUUGAAAAAACACAAUUUGGGGCUAAUUUCGUCAUUUCUUGAUAAUUGUGUUCUUUUUCUCAAUAUUCAAAUUUUUAGUGCUAUUUCUAACAUUUGAACUUCACUUGAGUCUCGCCUGGAUUUCGCUCGAGCGACAAAAGCAGAACGCUUUUCGCUCGAGCGAGUUUCGCCCAUGGCUCGCUCAAGCGACAGUGCCUUUUUAAGAGUCUCAAUUUUCAUUUUUCGCGCAAUUCUUCUCCAUUCUCUCUCAUUUUUUCAACAAUUGCUGUGAUUCAUUCAAAAUUCAUCCAUCACACUUGUUUAUUACACAAUUUCGAAGCCCCUAACAUAUAUUGGCUUCCGGAUUUCAACAUUUGCACAGCGUUUUUGAGGUAAUUGUUUUUCUUUUUUUUUCCUCUUGUGUUUAGUUUUUUUUGUAUUUUGAUUGUUUCUUCUUCCCUUGUUAUGACCUUCAUGCAUUUCUGGUUUAUUAUUCUUGUUAUUCUUCACAUUUUGCAUCAUAAAUUACAUUAAAUUGUGUGUUCUUCCAUGGUUUAGUAAUGAAAUUUUCGUGUUUUUCGUCCAUGUUCGUGUUGUUCGUUCUUGCGUUCCGUUACUCCGUUUCUUGUGUGGUUUGUUUCAUUCUAAAGACCAUGGUUUCUAGUUUGUGGGACUAUGCUUGGUUGUGUGUUUGUAUCUCGUAUGUGCCUGGAAUUGUUUGCCAAAGUGUCGCACGCCACGUGUUCGAUGAAAGUCCUUAGUUAUAUGACUUUUGUUUUCCCUUAGUUUUUUUUUUUCUGUUUUCCUUCUUUCCAUUUCGUCUUUGUUUCAUUGUCGUCACGUGCCAUGUUGAGUGCUUUUGGACAUAUUUUAAGUUUAUCUUUUCGUCAUGCUUGGUUUGCUCUUAGGGUCAUUAACGUUUUUCGAUGCAUUUCUUUCGUGCCUCAUUUGUGUGUGCAGUGUUUCAUUUCACAUUGCAUCAUAUUACGUGCAUUCUUCAUGUUACUCAUUAGUUCUAUCUCUACGUGUGCCAGAUGGCCCGUAAGCGUUCUCGACCCUUUGCGCAACCGGCCAGUGGUUCGACGUCGUAUAGUCGAUCGCGAUUCAUUUCUGCUACACCUCAGGAGGUCUUCACUUCUCAGUUCUCCUUAUGCCCCGUACUCGUGGAGUGUGAGAUAAUCUUAUCUGACCUUCCUGUUGAUAUAGCCGUCAUUUUUGUUUCCCGGGGUUGGGAGCCCCUUCUUGUUGGUCUUUCACCUCCGCCCCCACUCCUGGUUCAGGAGUUUUAUACUAAUAUUCAUGACAUAGAUGACUCGUCGUUUAGGGUUUUUUCUUAGAGGCCAUUCUUUUAGGGUUACUCCGUCAGCAGUAGCUCAUGCUUUAGAUAUACCUCAGAUUACCCAUCCGACUUUUCCUUAUAUUCUACCUGCUUCUAUUCAGGCCGAUGCCCUUGUUCGGUCGACGCUUUUGAACACCCCGUCUAUCGAGGGGCCUACGACGAUGGCCACGGGUUCUUUACCCACUGAUCGUCGGGUUUUGUUGCGCAUCGUGUGCACAAACCUGUGGCCUGUUGCCCACACGUCUUCUUUACCUAUGGUGAGGGUCCGUUUUCUAUAUACCCUUUUUCAUGGGGACUCGAUCGACCUUCCUAGUUUUGUGUGCCAGCAGAUUCUGGCUUCAUUUCGUACUCCUGGAGGACGGAUCAGGUUACCUUAUGCUUGCUUGAUUCAUAGGGUUGCUUUGUCUUUAGGUGCUUCUUUUCCAGAGGGUUCGACUAGUAGCAUAGGACGUCCGAUAGGACAGCAGACCAUUCAUCAGAGUCGAUCCCAUGUUCCGUUUUCUUCCUCUUCUACUCAUGCUGCGGCUCAGGCUGAGCCUGUUGAUGUCUUUGAUUUGUCGGAGCCCCUUGAUCCUAUUACUGAUAUUCUUACUGGGGGUUCUCGUGUCUUUCUUCCUUCUCGUUCCGAUCCUCCUUUAGCUAUUCCGCUUAGCUCUACCUUUCCUUCGACAUCUACUUCUGCUCCUGGGGUGGCUGCUUUGCCCGUUGACCCUAUGGUGACGCUUAUGUGACAGAUGUCUACACUGGUCGAGCAGCAGGCUCGUAUGAUGGCUGAGAUCACGCAGUUAAAUGCUGCUUCGGAGCGUCAGUCAACUGAGCUUUCUACUUUUCGCCGUGCUCUUGCCGUGUGUCAGCGACAUUUGCGCUAGAUUUGUGAUAGUAUGGAGAAGAGCACGAGUGGCGAGAGCGGUGCUGAGUCUUCGAAUGCUGGAGGUGCUGCCUCGUAGUUAGUUAGUUGAUUGUUUUUUAUCCUUUGUCCUUCGUGACAAAAAGGGGGAGUAGAUAUUUUGGAUAGAGUUGGAUAGAUAGAUAUCGAUUUUUUGGUAAUUGUGAUAUAAAGAUGAUGUGUAUAUAAUUCAUGACUAGAUUAAGUUUUUGAUGUUUCGGCAAUAUUAAUGUAUGUUUUUGGUGUUUUUGACUUACAUUAUUAUUGCUUCUUAAUCUGGUUAAUGGCGUACGAUCUAUUUCUUGUUUUUAUUUACUAUUUCUAUUUCACGUGCUUUUACACUUGGUAUUUGAGUUUUUGAUUUUCAGGAAACAGGUUCAACAAGAGAUAGCUGCUUUGGUUGAAUAGAUAGGUUGUUUGGAGUCAUUUUUAUUUAUGUCCUUGAUUGUCAUAUGUAUUUUUGUCACAGAAUGCCAAAGGAGGAGUUUGUUAGGAAAAUGUGUAAUUGGCAAUCUGUGACCAAAGGACCUAUUUGUCAAAAUUGUAAAGUCAAUGAUCAAAUUGUAAAGGUCUAAUAGUUCAGGGACUAAAGUUGCAAUUUAGCAAAGUUCAUAGCAUAGGUCUAGGUUAAAGUGGGAUGUUUUGAAGAUGCAAACGGCGCGUUGAUUUCGCUAGAGUUUCGCCUUGACCUCGCUCGAGCCUAAAUUACAGAAUAGACGUCGCUAGAGUUUCACUGAGCUGUCGCUCGAGCGAAGGUGCGUCGUUCGAGUUUCGCCAGCACCUCGCUCGAGCGACGGUGUUAUCUGGCCUUUGGUAAUUUUAAUGCCUCGCGAAUUUUUAACGCUCCAUAUUACCAAAUUCAACCUACUAUAUAAACAAAAUAUCCGAUUUUCGUUAAACACCUUUGGCAAACAUUCAAACAGGAAUUCCUCUCAACUUCCAAAGGAUUAAGAACCUAAUAUUCAUUCUUUUCAUCUUUUAAUUCUCAUGGUUCUUUGAAUAA
rnacentral:lncRNA from 1 species